UACAGAGGGUGCAAGCGUUAAUCGGAUUUACUGGGCGUAAAGGGCGCGUAGGCGGUUAUUUAAGUUUGAUGUGAAAGCCCUGGGCUUAACCUAGGAACUGCAUUGAAAACUGGGUAACUGGAGUACUGUAGAGGGUAGUGGAAUUUCCGGUGUAGCGGUGAAAUGCGUAGAGAUCGGAAGGAACACCAGUGGCGAAGGCGGCUACCUGGACAGAUACUGACGCUGAGGCGCGAGAGCGUGGGGAGCAAACAGG
rnacentral:rRNA from 1 species